CUGCGACCGUCCUCUUAUUAUACAAUUGACCAUAUAUGUUUUGCAAGCAUUAAUAGUUAUUGUUUUAAAAUGUGUUCAAUAGUUUUUGACGCAGAAUAUAAUAGUGCUGUUGCAACAAUUGUCCGAAAAAAAAAUAUAUUUGUUGAGUGACAGAGGAGCAGAAAGAAGAAAGAAAAAAAGUUGUGUAAAAAAGCCUUAUAUAACCAUAUGUAUGCACUUUUUUUGAUUGAUUAGUUUAUUAACAUUAAUCUUCAAUCAUUGGGGUUAUUUAAAUGUAAAUAUUUAUAUAAAUUGUAUUGGGUCACAAUAUGUUUACAUUAGCACUGUGGCACUUUAAAUAUUUUGCACGUAUAUGGC